GAGGAAGUGAAGUAAGAGGCUGAAUAAGGAGAAGAUCUCCAGGAGGUUGUCUUCCUGAACCCUGGAAAACGAAGUUAAUUGUGCAAUGCAAAGGGGCAAGCAAUGUUGAUGAUGAGACAACUGAAUGGACAGAAGAAAAAGGCAAAGGAAGUGGAAAGAAGAGCCAAAGUCAGGUGCAAAAGAGAAAUUGCGGGUAGACCAGGUUUGCUUUUCCACCUACAGUGAACCCUUGGAUUAUGACCAGCCUGACAUACAACAUGGGUUAUGACUGGAAUUUUAGUUUUAACUUAUGACCAAAGUCUUGAGUUACGACCCAAAUGUUGGCUGCUUGUGCUUCCAGUUGGUCUCAGAUACAGAUUUUACCCUUAAAGAGUUCUGAAAGGAACAUUACAACAUCCUUCCCUGUAUGGGGUUAAUUGAGAAAUCCUGGGCCAAUUUCUCUUUAAGGACACUGAGAUUUUCCUGUAUACAGGAGAGAGACUUUGAAGGCUGUGUAGAGGAGCCUGAGCUUUUAAUUGACCAACCUGAGUGACAACCAGCUCUCUUGAAUGAAUCGAGUUUGGAAGUCAAAGGUCCACUGUAUUUGUAUCCGAUAUGAGCACUGGGAUGAUAGGUAAUGAUGUCUAUGAUUUCAGAGAAUUACAUACAACUAUUAUACUCCCUUCUCCUUCUUCUCAGGUGCUGUCUCCAGGACCAACCUCAUGGUUUCACUAUAGACUUUAAGGGAUCACGAGGAAGGAAUAAUGGUGCCAGCAGGCACCUGGGAAAGGGGCUGCAGAAGAAAGAAUGGUUUCAAGAGACCCUUGGGGAAGGACUCCAAUAACUGACAGUCUUUACUUGCUUGCUUGCAUAAGUGCCAAACUGUCUGUUGUUGUUUAUUUGUUUCUUGUUUAUUUCACAGGACCACGUACACAUAGUUGCUUUCUGAUUUGUGGUUUAACCUUGCCCUGUACUUAAAAGGACUGGGUCCCAGGGCAUCGUGGCUGUCUCACAUGGUUCCCUAGCAACCAAAUGAGACAGGGAAAUGUGCACAGUUGCAUCACCACAAGAUGUUAGGUCAAUUAAUAUUCAUUAGAAGUGCCUGUGUUUGACUGCUGGGAGACAUUAUGGAGAAAAAUAUCUUUGUUGCUGGAGUGGGGGAUGGAAGAAGAGAAGGGACAGUGAAUAUGUAUAUUAUAUACUGCAGACAUGUUUCUUAUAUUAGUACAUUGGCCCAUUUGUACAUGUAUGUAAAGAUUUUCAAAAAAUUAUUGUUUUUACAAUUAUCCUUCUAGGUUUAUUAUAUGGGAAUAGAUUUCAGAAACAAAGGAAGAUUCUACCUCAAGUACAGCUUUGUGGGAAAAGGACUCAAAUCAACUUUUGCAUCAUUUCUACAGCCAGAACCAGCUGCAUUUGGAACUAACUGCCUCUCAUUUGUUUACAAGAUGUUGAGAUUAUCCUGGAUUAUUUGAGUGGGCCCUAAGUGCAACCUAUGUAUCCUCAUAAGAAGGAGAUCUGACACAGAAGAAGAGGAGAAGGCAACAGGACCAAAGAGGCAGAGGCAGAGAUUUGAAGGAUGUGACCAUAAGGCUAAGAGUGUUGGCUGCUACCAAAGCUGCGCGAGCAACAAUGACAGAAUCUAUACUAGUUCAGGAAAGCAAGGCACUUGCCUCUGAGGACAAAAAGGAAGGGGCAUCAAAAAGCCUCAUUAACCAAGCAAAAGAGGAUUGACAGGACAGUGGUCCCCAGCUUCCUGGACACCUACGCCCCUGCUGC
rnacentral:lncRNA from 1 species